UAUGUAGGUGGCGAGCGUUGUCCGGAUUUAUUGGGUUUAAAGGGUGCGUAGGCGGCCCUAUAAGUCAGUGGUGAAAUAUCGCAGCUUAACUGUGAGGGUGCCAUUGAUACUGUAGGGCUUGAGUGAAUUUGAGGUAGGCGGAAUUGACGGUGUAGCGGUGAAAUGCUUAGAUAUCGUCAAGAACACCGAUAGUGAAGACAGCUUACCAAGCUUCAACUGACGCUGAGGCACGAAAGUGUGGGGAUCAAACAGG
rnacentral:rRNA from 1 species